AGCGGCGCACGGGUGAGUAACGCGUACAUGACCUACCUCUAAGACUGGGAUAGCCCUGGGAAACUGGGAUUAAUACCGGAUGUGAUAAUAUGUAUAGAGAUGUAUUAUUAAAGAUGAGUCGCUUAGAGAUGGGUGUGCGUAUGAUUAGCUAGUUGGUAGGGUAACGGCCUACCAAGGCGACGAUCAUUAGGGGGCGUGAGAGCGUGGCCCCCCACACGGGUACUGAGACACGGACCCGACUCCUACGGGAGGCAGCAGUAAGGAAUAUUGGUCAAUGGACGGAAGUCUGAACCAGCCAUCCCGCGUGCAGGAUGACGGCCCUAUGGGUUGUAAACUGCUUUUAGCAGAGACGAAACGCCUUCAUUUAUGGGGGUCUGACGGUAUCUGCAGAAUAAGCACCGGCUAACUCCGUGCCAGCAGCCGCGGUAAUACGGAGGGUGCAAGCGUUAUCCGGAAUCACUGGGUUUAAAGGGUGCGUAGGCGGGGAAUUAAGUCAGUGGUGAAAGCCUGUCGCUUAACGAUAGAAUUGCCAUUGAUACUGAUUUUCUUGAAUUGGGUUGAGGUUAGCGGAAUGUGACAUGUAGCGGUGAAAUGCAUAGAUAUGUCAUGGAACACCAAUUGCGAAGGCAGCUAGCUGGGCCUUGAUUGACGCUGAGGCACGAAAGCGUGGGUAGCGAACAGGAUUAGAUACCCUGGUAGU
rnacentral:rRNA from 1 species